AAUUGAAUGGUUCAGUGAAGUGUUUAGAACCCAGCCUUUGGGCAGUUCACCGCCAGCGAGUUAGGAGAAGGCCACUCAUACUUAUCAUAUAGAGGAAGAACAAGGUUUCCAUAGGUGAAUCUACAGAAGGAUCAUUG
rnacentral:rRNA from 1 species